rnacentral:rRNA from 1 species
AGAGUUUGAUCAUGGCUCAGAACGAACGCUGGCGGCGUGGCUAAGACAUGCAAGUCGAACGGACCAUUAAUUCAUUAGUGGUUAGUGGCGAAAGGGUUAGUAACAGGUGGGUAACGUACCCUGUGCUUCGGGAUAGCGUCAGUUACUUCGGUAACUUUCCGAAAGGGGCGAUAAUACCGAAUAAUAUCAUAAGUCGAUAGGCUUAUGAUCAAGGAUUUAUCGGCAUAGGAGCGGCCUGCCUCCUAUCAGCUAGUUGGUGAGGUAAUGGCUCACCAAGGCAUCGACGGGUAGCGGGACUGAGAGGUUGACCCGCAACAUCGGGACUGAGACACUGCCCGGACCUCCACGGAGGGCUGCAGUAACGAAUAUUGCGCAAUGGGCGAAAGCCUGACGCAGCGACGCCGCGUGUAGGAGGAAGUCCCUCGGGAUGUAAACUACUGUCAGGGGGAAGAAAGUGCGCUUCGGCGCAUUGAUCUAACCCAGAGGAAGUCACGGCUAACUUCGUGCCAGCAGCCGCGGUAAGACGAAGGUGGCUAGCGUUGUUCGGUAUUACUGNGCUUAAAGCGUGUGUAGGCGGAAAAGUAAGCGUUUUGUGAAAGCCCCCGGCUUAACCGGGGAAUUGCGUGACGAACUGCUUUUCUUGAGGCAAGUAGGGGUGCAUGGAACUCUUGGUGGAGCGGUGGAAUGCGUAGAUAUCAAGAGGAACGCCAGUGGUGAAAACGGUGCACUGGGCUUGUCCUGACGCUGAGACNCGAAAGCAUGGGUAGCGAACGGGAUUANAUACCCCGGUAGUCCAUGCUGUAAAC